rnacentral:rRNA from 1 species
GGUUAAGCGACUAAGCGUACACGGUGGAUGCCCUGGCAGUCAGAGGCGAUGAAGGACGUGCUAAUCUGCGAUAAGCGUCGGUAAGGUGAUAUGAACCGUUAUAACCGGCGAUUUCCGAAUGGGGAAACCCAGUGUGUUUCGACACACUAUCAUUAACUGAAUCCAUAGGUUAAUGAGGCGAACCGGGGGAACUGAAACAUCUAAGUACCCCGAGGAAAAGAAAUCAACCGAGAUUCCCCCAGUAGCGGCGAGCGAACGGGGAGCAGCCCAGAGCCUGAAUCAGUGUGUGUGUUAGUGGAAGCGUCUGGAAAGGCGCGCGAUACAGGGUGACAGCCCCGUACACAAAAAUGCACAUGCUGUGAGCUCGAUGAGUAGGGCGGGACACGUGGUAUCCUGUCUGAAUAUGGGGGGACCAUCCUCCAAGGCUAAAUACUCCUGACUGACCGAUAGUGAACCAGUACCGUGAGGGAAAGGCGAAAAGAACCCCGGCGAGGGGAGUGAAAAAGAAACUGAAACCGUGUACGUACAAGCAGUGGGAGCACGCUUAGGCGUGUGACUGCGUACCUUUUGUAUAAUGGGUCAGCGACUUAUAUUCUGUAGCAAGGUUAACCGAAUAGGGGAGCCGAAGGGAAACCGAGUCUUAACUGGGCGUUAAGUUGCAGGGUAUAGACCCGAAACCCGGUGAUCUAGCCAUGGGCAGGUUGAAGGUUGGGUAACACUAACUGGAGGACCGAACCGACUAAUGUUGAAAAAUUAGCGGAUGACUUGUGGCUGGGGGUGAAAGGCCAAUCAAACCGGGAGAUAGCUGGUUCUCCCCGAAAGCUAUUUAGGUAGCGCCUCGUGAAUUCAUCUCUGGGGGUAGAGCACUGUUUCGGCAAGGGGGUCAUCCCGACUUACCAACCCGAUGCAAACUGCGAAUACCGGAGAAUGUUAUCACGGGAGACACACGGCGGGUGCUAACGUCCGUCGUGAAGAGGGAAACAACCCAGACCGCCAGCUAAGGUCCCAAAGUCAUGGUUAAGUGGGAAACGAUGUGGGAAGGCCCAGACAGCCAGGAUGUUGGCUUAGAAGCAGCCAUCAUUUAAAGAAAGCGUAAUAGCUCACUGGUCGAGUCGGCCUGCGCGGAAGAUGUAACGGGGCUAAACCAUGCACCGAAGCUGCGGCAGCGACGCUUAUGCGUUGUUGGGUAGGGGAGCGUUCUGUAAGCCUGCGAAGGUGUGCUGUGAGGCAUGCUGGAGGUAUCAGAAGUGCGAAUGCUGACAUAAGUAACGAUAAAGCGGGUGAAAAGCCCGCUCGCCGGAAGACCAAGGGUUCCUGUCCAACGUUAAUCGGGGCAGGGUGAGUCGACCCCUAAGGCGAGGCCGAAAGGCGUAGUCGAUGGGAAACAGGUUAAUAUUCCUGUACUUGGUGUUACUGCGAAGGGGGGACGGAGAAGGCUAUGUUGGCCGGGCGACGGUUGUCCCGGUUUAAGCGUGUAGGCUGGUUUUCCAGGCAAAUCCGGAAAAUCAAGGCUGAGGCGUGAUGACGAGGCACUACGGUGCUGAAGCAACAAAUGCCCUGCUUCCAGGAAAAGCCUCUAAGCAUCAGGUAACAUCAAAUCGUACCCCAAACCGACACAGGUGGUCAGGUAGAGAAUACCAAGGCGCUUGAGAGAACUCGGGUGAAGGAACUAGGCAAAAUGGUGCCGUAACUUCGGGAGAAGGCACGCUGAUAUGUAGGUGAAGCGACUUGCUCGUGGAGCUGAAAUCAGUCGAAGAUACCAGCUGGCUGCAACUGUUUAUUAAAAACACAGCACUGUGCAAACACGAAAGUGGACGUAUACGGUGUGACGCCUGCCCGGUGCCGGAAGGUUAAUUGAUGGGGUUAGCGCAAGCGAAGCUCUUGAUCGAAGCCCCGGUAAACGGCGGCCGUAACUAUAACGGUCCUAAGGUAGCGAAAUUCCUUGUCGGGUAAGUUCCGACCUGCACGAAUGGCGUAAUGAUGGCCAGGCUGUCUCCACCCGAGACUCAGUGAAAUUGAACUCGCUGUGAAGAUGCAGUGUACCCGCGGCAAGACGGAAAGACCCCGUGAACCUUUACUAUAGCUUGACACUGAACAUUGAGCCUUGAUGUGUAGGAUAGGUGGGAGGCUUUGAAGUGUGGACGCCAGUCUGCAUGGAGCCGACCUUGAAAUACCACCCUUUAAUGUUUGAUGUUCUAACGUUGACCCGUGAUCCGGGUUGCGGACAGUGUCUGGUGGGUAGUUUGACUGGGGCGGUCUCCUCCUAAAGAGUAACGGAGGAGCACGAAGGUUGGCUAAUCCUGGUCGGACAUCAGGAGGUUAGUGCAAUGGCAUAAGCCAGCUUGACUGCGAGCGUGACGGCGCGAGCAGGUGCGAAAGCAGGUCAUAGUGAUCCGGUGGUUCUGAAUGGAAGGGCCAUCGCUCAACGGAUAAAAGGUACUCCGGGGAUAACAGGCUGAUACCGCCCAAGAGUUCAUAUCGACGGCGGUGUUUGGCACCUCGAUGUCGGCUCAUCACAUCCUGGGGCUGAAGUAGGUCCCAAGGGUAUGGCUGUUCGCCAUUUAAAGUGGUACGCGAGCUGGGUUUAGAACGUCGUGAGACAGUUCGGUCCCUAUCUGCCGUGGGCGCUGGAGAAUUGAGGGGGGCUGCUCCUAGUACGAGAGGACCGGAGUGGACGCAUCACUGGUGUUCGGGUUGUCAUGCCAAUGGCACUGCCCGGUAGCUAAAUGCGGAAGAGAUAAGUGCUGAAAGCAUCUAAGCACGAAACUUGCCCCGAGAUGAGUUCUCCCUGACUCCUUGAGAGUCCUGAAGGAACGUUGAAGACGACGACGUUGAUAGGCCGGGUGUGUAAGCGCAGCGAUGCGUUGAGCUAACCGGUACUAAUGAACCGUGAGGCUUAACCUU